rnacentral:rRNA from 1 species
AUGACUGGGCAUCGUUUUUAGCCAGGGGACAAAUACUGGCGGCGUGCCUAAUACAUGCAAGUAGAACGCUGAAGAGAGGAGCUUGCUCUUCUUGGAUGAGUUGCGAACGGGUGAGUAACGCGUAGGUAACCUGCCUUGUAGCGGGGGAUAACUAUUGGAAACGAUAGCUAAUACCGCAUAACAAUGGAUGACACAUGUCAUUUAUUUGAAAGGGGCAAUUGCUCCACUACAAGAUGGACCUGCGUUGUAUUAGCUAGUAGGUGAGGUAACGGCUCACCUAGGCGACGAUACAUAGCCGACCUGAGAGGGUGAUCGGCCACACUGGGACUGAGACACGGCCCAGACUCCUACGGGAGGCAGCAGUAGGGAAUCUUCGGCAAUGGGGGCAACCCUGACCGAGCAACGCCGCGUGAGUGAAGAAGGUUUUCGGAUCGUAAAGCUCUGUUGUAAGUCAAGAACGAGUGUGAGAGUGGAAAGUUCACACUGUGACGGUAGCUUACCAGAAAGGGACGGCUAACUACGUGCCAGCAGCCGCGGUAAUACGUAGGUCCCGAGCGUUGUCCGGAUUUAUUGGGCGUAAAGCGAGCGCAGGCGGUUUGAUAAGUCUGAAGUUAAAGGCUGUGGCUCAACCAUAGUUCGCUUUGGAAACUGUCAAACUUGAGUGCAGAAGGGGAGAGUGGAAUUCCAUGUGUAGCGGUGAAAUGCGUAGAUAUAUGGAGGAACACCGGUGGCGAAAGCGGCUCUCUGGUCUGUAACUGACGCUGAGGCUCGAAAGCGUGGGGAGCGAACAGGAUUAGAUACCCUGGUAGUCCACGCCGUAAACGAUGAGUGCUAGGUGUUGGAUCCUUUCCGGGAUUCAGUGCCGCAGCUAACGCAUUAAGCA